UAGAUUUUUAAGUUGUAUUUUGAUUGAUUUGAUUCUGGUUAUUGUUGUUAAUUUUAGGUUAUAUGUACAUGUGAAUAUUUAUUAAUUGAUUUUUUUUUUUGCAGUACUUAAUAUUAUAUAUGAAAUUAUUUUUGAUUUAGGUAUUUCUUUUAUUAUUGUAUAAAAUUGUGCCAGCAUACGCGGUUAUACAAUUGAUAUUAAUUAAUAUGGUUGAUUAUUAAAGUUAAGGUUUUUUUUGGCUUAUAAUUAUUUAUUUUUAGGUGAAAUUUUAAUAUUUUUAUGUUAAGCUUAUUUUCGGUUCUUUUAAAUAUUUGUUUAAACUAGGAUUAGAUACCCUAUUAUUUUUUAUGUAAAUUUUAAAAUCAGGGUAGUAUUAGUUAUGUUCUUUAAACCCAAAGAAUUUGGCGGUAUUCUAGUCUAUUUAGAGGAACUUGUCUCAUAAUCGAUAAUCCUCGUUUUAUCUUACUUAUUUUAGCUUUAAUCAGCUUGUAUAUCGCCGUUAUAAGUUUAUUUUUUAAGAAUUUUAAUUUACUUAAUAUUUUAUUUUAUAUUAUUUCAGGUCAAGGUGCAGCUUAUGAUUAAGUGAUGGUGAGUUACAAUAUUAUUUAAUUAAACGGAUUUUUAUUUUAUAAAUUUAUUGAAGGUGGAUUUAAUAGUAAUUUUAAUUAUAAUAUUAAUUUGAUUUUAAGCUCUAGGAUGAGUACAUAUCGCCCGUCACUCUCAAUUUAUUUGAGAUAAGUCGUAACAAAGUAGGUGUACUGGAAAGUGUACCUGGAAUGAU
rnacentral:ncRNA from 1 species